rnacentral:lncRNA from 1 species
GUAUUAUAUAAUUAGUGAUUUUGGAUUCACAUAAAAUACCAAACAUGUUACUCAUGGAUAUUCGAGGAUCUUUAAUCACUAGAUCAUGGCCUACCAAAUGUCAUGAUCUUAGAUCAUUGGUGAUCAUAUCACCAUAGAAUUUAGAUCAUCGAUGAUCUUAGGUCACCACGGUGAUCUCAUUUGGAUCACCAAAUGCUAUUUAUAGAUAUUGAAAUAGGUACUAGAACCAUGAUUGGGCCAUAAUUUUUCGAUCCAAUUUAGAAUCAAGCCAGGU